AGAGAGACAUGGGAGUGAGGCAAAAGGGCCUCUUAUACACAGCUAAUCACAAUUAAGGAGCCUAUCAACAACAACAACAACAGGGACAAGGACCACCAUCCAUCUUACCAUGUAGGGCAAACAUGCCUUCCCAAUAAGUCAACUUCAUCACUUUCGGAUUCGAACAUGACACGACACGACACAGCGAGAUCAUUAGGUCUGCAGCAGCAGCACAAGAGGUGGGUGAAUCCAAAAAACAAAUCCAGCCAGCCCUUCAACAUCAGCUUCAUCCAUCCUGGAAAGAGGCCAUCUUUUCUUGAUAAUCCAGGAAAGUUACAUGGUUGGCUUGGAACCACUGGGUGGUCUGCUUUGUGUUUCUUGUGUGUCCUGUAUAUGUACACAAUUUGAGCAGGGUGGUGCUGAGAUGAGAUCCUCCUAGCC
rnacentral:lncRNA from 1 species